rnacentral:lncRNA from 1 species
UGUCUCCCUGAGGAGCAGAAGUUUCUGAUACAGCAGUUACCAAUGUAUAUCCCAGUUGGGCAUUUUCAAACGUCUGAAGCUGCCCAAGUCAGGUGCCACGCGCCCAGCACCACACGCCCUUUGAUUCACCCCCUUUCAGCUCGGGCGCAUCUUUGUGUGUCUCAUGUAUGCACAUUUGUUCAUUUUUUGCUGGGCCCUUUAUGAGUGGCAGAGGUCAUGAGUUUCACCUUUAAAUUCUGGAAGAAGAGUCGCUUGCUCCCUGGAUGGUGCCGACACCACUGUGGUUCCGAUAGCAGGAGGGGUUCAGAGGCUGGGAGAUGGCCCAUCAUUUGAGACCUGCUCACCCACGUGGGAGGAUCCAGAGACACAGCUCUUCCCACAGCGUCCUGACCCCCUCUUCCUAGGGUGGCAGCGUGACCGCUGGAAACUGCUGAUGUCAGUUUCAGCCUGGAGGCUGGAGGGGCUGAUUCUGGGUACCCUGGGCCUCUUGCUCGCUCGUGGCUGGUGGGGACGUGCCUUCCCACCACCCUUCGACUCUGCCGAGUAGCCGCACGUGUGAUGGAGAAAACAAGGUACCCUAUGCCGUUCUGUUC